rnacentral:rRNA from 1 species
GACGAACGCUGGCGGCGUGCUUAACACAUGCAAGUCGAAAGAAGUGGCGAACGGGUGAGUAACGCGUAAGCAACCUGCCCUACAGUGGGGGACAACAGUUGGAAACGACUGCUAAUACCGCAUACUGAAGGAGGGGUAUGCGUCUGAUUAGCCAGUUGGAGGGGUAACGGCCCAGCAAGGCGAUGAUCAGUGGCGGGUCUGAGAGGAUGAACGGCCACAUUGGGACUGAGACACGGCCCAGACUCCUACGGGAGUCAGCAGUUGGGACUCUUCCGCAAGGGACGAAAGUCUGACGGAGCAACGCCGCGUGAGGGAUGACGGCCUUCGGGUUGUAAAGCUCUGUUAAGCGGGACGCGGUACCGGAAUAGAAACCCACGGCUAACUACGUGCCAGCAGCCGCGGUGAUAC